UACAGAGGUCUCAAGCGUUGUUCGGAUUCAUUGAGCGUAAAGGGUGUGUAGGCGGAUCGUUAAGUGCCUUGUGAAAUCCCACGGCUUAACUGUGGAACGGCUGGGCAUACUGGCGGUCUUGAGCCAUCUAGGGGCGACUGGAACAAACGGUGGAGCGGUGAAAUGCGUAGAUAUCGUUUGGAACGCCAAUGGUGAAAACAGGUCGCUGGGGAUGAGCUGACGCUGAGACACGAAAGCCAGGGGAGCAAACGGG
rnacentral:rRNA from 1 species